rnacentral:lncRNA from 1 species
UCAAAUCCUCCUUGUAUAUUUGCUCAAGAGAUUCCUGCACUGUAGAGUCAACAACAUCAAUAGCAAAAAUAAAAUUAACAUUACCAAGAUACCUCUUAACUUUAUAUAUGCCGAACUGGACAUGUGCGUCGUCUAAUUCCACGUGUAAGGUCCCAUGGUGUUUAUCAUCGUGUGUUGUUGCUGGUACAAGGAAAGUAUCAUCAUCUAUGUCCUCCUUAUAGAAAUCUGCAGGAAUUAUUAAUUCUUCCAUCUCUACCUCUUGUUCAUCAUUUUCAGAGUUUGAAUACCUGAUUCAAAUUUAGCAGUAGUCUCGUGCACAUCCAAAUGGUUUCCACUAGUGAACUCCUUCUCAUCUUUAAGUUCUUGUUCCUUAUUCGCCAUUUCUUCAAGGAAUUUUUCAUUAGACUUUGUAUACCACGUUGAAUUUUUUCCAACUUUCCAAUUCCUUGUUAGAACUUGGGGAAAAGGUAGUUUCGGUUCAUAGGCAAAAAGAGGUGGAAAUUUGUGCUUGAGUACAUCAUUGCUGCCUAUUUCACUAUUAUUGGACUUACUUUGUAUUGACUUUUCUUCCUGCUGAUCCUCUGCACCACAUCUCAAUGUUAUGGCACUUACAUUUUCAACAGUUUGAGAAAGUGACCUUCCUACUGUGGUUGCAAGCUGACCAACUUGGUCCCUCAGAUCUUGAACAGAAGUUCUUGUCUCCUACUGGAAUUGUUGUGUCUGACACAUGAACUUUUGUGUUUGGUUCAUGAAUGCCUUGAACAUAUCCUCCAUAAAUGCCCCAGAAUUGACAGGUACUUCUUGGUUUUUUGUGUGGUACUGAGGUUGAGCUUGCUGAAUAACUUGUGUAUUCCUUGCAGCCAUUUGUCGAACCAAAGCAGUUAAAUCAGAAAUCUGUUGCUCUAAGUCUCUCGUGCUUACCCCAUUUACCCUUUG